GUGCUAGAAAACUUUCAUUAUAUAUAUUUGACACCGCGAACACUAUGUCCUCCGGUGAAGUCUUGUCACAAGUAAUAAUAGUUUCCUUCACAGUGUCAUGAAUUACUGUCACGAAUUCGUGCAACUCCAUCUUGUUCUCCCCAGGUAUGAAUUUUAUAGGGGCGUCAACUCCAAGAUUCCCAAAAGAUUUUUCUACUUGAGGUAAAGAAAUCAACCUAGUGCGCAAGUUAAUUGGGAUGUUCAUUAGAGAACGUCUUAGAUAUCCGUGCUUCUUUUUUGAAGCAAGGAUUAAAGCCCUCCAUAGGAGGGCCAUGAUCAUUUCAACUCUUGAUGGCUUAAACCACCGACUUCUUUUCUUAGCCUUGAAAUGGAAUCUUCGUUGAUGUAUAGCCUUUUGGCUACUAAUUUAGACUCCACACGAUCUAAUGGAGGAACACGAGGCAAGAGAAGCUUCGAUAAAUCUCUCGUUGGGAAAACAUCAACCAAAUUAAAGCUCAUGAAAUCGAUCUUCUCUACAGGAAUCUCAAGUCUACAUACUUUGGACCACUCGUUGAUAACAGUAAAAAUUGAGUAACCAUCCAUUGCAAUGUGCGCGUGGCUCAUGGAUAGAGCCAAGCCACCACACUCGAAUUCUGUAAUUUGGAUAAUGACAACUGGCAUGGCGAAUAAGUUGGAUGCAUCUACAUUCCAUGAAUCUUGAGGCCAAUAGAGCAAUGAAAGGUUGACAUCCUUACGUGCUUUCUCAAGAAAUUCAUUGAGUUUACUAUUCACUUUUGCUUUUAUAAAUUUAACCCCUUGGUCCUGGCAGGAUAUCGAGUUAUCCUCGGUAAAUCUGCCAGACAUAGGGUAAACAUGAGUUAAAAUCCUAGAUAAGGAUUGCUCAAGUUGUUCUUCAUGAGCUGAAAAAUUAAUGUUGUUGGUAGGAGGAUAAAAAAAACAAGAGGUAUAUGUGUCUCAUCAGAUAAUUGAUCAAAGAAACAUAACUUGUAAUUUUGGAGAUGAUUUGGAGUUGGUGAAGAUGGUUUUAUGAAUUUUGUGGAUAUAAUUUCAACUUCCAUGUUUUCUUUUUGAAAUGCCAGAUGUGGUAAAAUAGCAAAAGAGAGAUUAAGCAAACAAGUGAAGAAGCUAAGAUAAGAUAUAUAGUGGCACUUCACUCUUCCCCUUUAUAUAGAAAAAAAAAAAAGAUAUGGGUUUUCUAUUUAUCGAUUUUUGAUAACCAUCCAGUUUAACCAACAAAAAAAUAAAUAUAUGACUUCUUUAAUAAUUUGGCGCGACAGGAUAAUAAUGUAACUUUACAUAAUGUUUAUAAUUAAAAUAGAAGGGAUAAGGCACAAGUACCCCUAGACUAUGGCCGAAAUCUCAAAGACACACCUUAACUAAUUAAUGUAAAGUCCUAUUACCCCCUAAACUCAUUUUUUGUUUAAUUUUAUACACCUUUUGACUUACGUGGCACACUUCGUGACUCCACCUAAGUGAGGCGCGUGGGAGACGUUUGGAGGCCACAUAGGUCAAAAAGGUGUACAAAAUUACAAAAAAAAUAAGUUUAGAGGGGUAAUAGGACCUUAGUUUAGUUAAAGUGUGUCUCUGAGAUUUUGGUCAUAGUCUAAGGGGUACUAGUGUCUUAUCCCACAAUAUUAACUACCAUGAAAAUGAAAAAAACUAUACAAGUGCAAUACAAAUAAAGAAUUAGGAUAAUAAUGUGAAUUGAAAGCUAAAGGGCAAAUGAAAGGUAGUAACCAGCAAAAUAUAUAUAUUGAUAUAAAUAUUUACUAUAUUUUUGUAGAGGUAAGUGAGGAAAUGACUACCGGGUUAUUGGUUUACUCAAUAAUCCAAAGCUAAAAAAAUCAAAAUCAAAUUGAUAAUUCAAUAUUUAUUUUUUUAUAAUCAUUAAAAACUUGUUAACUCAAUAACAAUAAACUAGACAAACUAGAAAGAUGACAAAAAAAAACAUAGAAAACUCUAAAAACUUAGCAAAUGCCUUAACAUCAUGGUCCAAAAAAAAUAAAAUCCAUAAGUAUUAUAACUCUCAGCAAGUGCUUGAAAAUGAGUUUCACGCUUUUUUGAUUACAGUAACGGCUGCAAUUGAAUUCGCUCUUGAUUUCCAUUGGUAAAAGCCUUGAUAUCACUUUCACAUUCAAAUAAACUCAUAUAACUAUCCUUCAAGUCCACUUGCACACAAAUACUUCCACAUUCUGCAUCAUACAUCCAACAACUAUGAAAAUUUCUCAAUCCAAAAUGCAUCAAACUCGGUUUUCCUCGACCAAAAUCAGCAUCCUUCAUCGGAAACUUACACAAACUCGAAAUUAUACACUUGUCAACUUCAUCAUUGUCAGUUCCCCAUUCUUUUGACGAGAAAAUUUCCUUGUAUGAAUUAGCCACAGUCGUGAUUAUGUCAUCAGCUGAACCUAUAGCACAAGCAUCAAUACCUUUUUGUACCGAAUUCCUAAUCAACGUUACAAAAUCAUGAAGCUCCAUUUUGUUCUUCUCGGGUACAAAUAGUAUUGGAGCAUCCAUUACAUUAUUCCCAAACGCGUUUUCUUUUAGAGGUAAUGAGAUUUUUCCGCGUAAAUUCACUGGGAAAAACACUAAUGAACGUCUCAAAUAUCCGUGUUUUGCUUCUGAAACACAAAUUAAAGCCCUCCAUAAAAUUGCUGUAAUAAUUUCAACUCUUGAAGGCUUAAAGCAUAGUUCCCCUGAAUCUGUCGCCCCUGUUAAGUUGUCUCUGAGAGACGAUAUCGUCUGUUCAUUAAUAAAAAAUCUCUUAGCUAUAAAUUUUGCUUCUAAUUCUACAUCUUUCUCUGUAGGAUAUAUAUAUAGAGAGAGAGAGAGAGUGUUUUCAGAGACCACUAGGUGUCGUGGCACCCCCACGGGUACCCAUAGAUCCACCCCUGAAUGCAAGUACAAAGUAAAAAGGUGACAUAUAAAAAGGGACGAAGGGAGUAUUAAACACUUUAUUUGGGUAAACUUUGUAAAGGUGUUAGUACAUACAAUAAUACAACUCAACUAACCCUUUAUUUUAGAAAAAACUUGAUUACAUUAAGAUACGAGAAUCAAAUUUGGACCUCAAUUGGCCAUGUGUAUUGGGAACUGACAAUGAUGAAGUUGACAAGUGUAUAAUUUCAAGUUUGUGUAAGUUUCCUAUGAAGGAUGCUGAUUUAGGUCGAGAAAAACCGAGGUAAUUUAGAGUUUUCUAUGCUUUUUUUUUGGUCAUCUUUCUAAUUUGUCUAGUUUAUUGUUAUUGAGUUAUUGGGUUAACAGGUUUUUAAUGGUUUUAUAAAAAAAUAAAUAUUGAAUUAUCAAUUCGACUUUGAUUUUUUUAACUUUAGAUUAUUGAGUAAACCAAUAACCCGAUAAGAAGGUAGUCAUUUCCUCAAUUACCUCUACAUAAAUAUAGUAAAUAUUUAUUUCAAUAUAUAUAUUUUAAUGGCUACUACCUUUAAUUUGCCCUUUAACCUUCAAUUCACAUUAUUGUCCUAGUUCUUUUAUUUGUAUUGCACUUGUACAGUUCUUUUCAUUUUCAUGAUAGUUAAUAUUGUUCUAUUUUAAUUAUGAACAUUAUGUAAAGUUACAUUAUUAUCCUGUCGUGCCAAAUUAUUGAAGAAGUCAUAUAUUUAUGUUAUGAGCAUUUUUUUGUUGGUUAAACUGGAUGGUUAUAUAUCAAAAAUCGAUAAAUAGAAAACCCAUAUUUUUUUUCUAUACAAAGGGGAAGAGUGAAGUGCCACUAUAUAUCUUAGCUUCUUCAUAUCACUUGUUUGCUUAAUCUCUCUUUUGCAAUUUCACCACAUCUAUAUACUCAUGGCAUUUCAAAAAGAAAACAUGGAAGUUGAAAUUAUAUCCACAAAAUUCAUAAAACCAUCUUCACCAACUCCAAAUUUACAAGUUAUGUUUCUUUGAUCAAAUAUCUGAUGAGACACAUAUACCUCUUGUUUUUUUUAUCCUCCUACCAACAACAUUAAUUUUUCAGCUCAUGAAGAACAACUUGAGCAAUCCUUAUCUAGGAUAUCAACCUUUCAUUCCUUUGUUGGCCUCAAGAUUCAUGGAAUGUAGAUGCAUCCAACUUAUUCGCCAUGCCAGUUGUCAUUAUCCAAAUUACAGAAUUCGAGUGUGGUGGCUUGGCUCUAUCCAUGAGCCACGCGCACAUGGAAAUGGAUGGUUAAUUACUCAACUUUUACUGUUAUCAACGAAUGGUCCAAAGUGUGUAGACUUGAGAUUCCUUUAGAGAAGAUCGAUUUCAUGAGCUUUAAUUUGGUUGAUGUUUUCCCAACGAGAGAUUUAUCGAAGCUUCUCUUGCCUCGUGUUCCUCUAGAAGAUCGUGUGGAGUCUAAAUUAGUAGCCUAAAGGCUAUACAUCAGCGAAGAUUCCAUUUCAAGGCUAAGAAAAGAAGUUGGUGGAGACUUAUGCUUUAAGCCGUCAAGAGUUGAAAUGAUCAUGGCCCUCCUAUGGAGGGCUUUAAUCCGUGCUUCAGAAAAUAAAAGAAGCACGGAUAUCUAAGGCGUUCUCUAAUGAACUGUAACACCCCAGAAAAUUUUUGAGCUAAGACUUGAACCGUCCUUCGUUGUGGGUAGGAUUUAACCAAGGAAUUUAAAAUUUCUUAAGUGUUAAAUUCACUAGAUGUAGCACCUUGAGUUCGAAAAAGAAUUAAAUUGGAAAUAGCAAGAUCUAAAAUUUUGCAAGUUAUGCUUAAGUAUGAGUUUUGGGUUGACUUCAAACGACCAUAACUCCUAGCUCAUGAUGAGUUAGGUGUACUACCAGAUACCGUAGGAAAGACCUUUGAAUUAUCUUUCCAACGCCGCCAAUUUUGCUCAGUUUCGAUAUCGUAUGAGGGAGAUAUGUUUAUUCGAAGUUGGGCUGUCUAGAUAAGGAAAGUCAAAACCGGAUUCUAGAGGGGUAUUUUGGUCUUUUCCUUACCCAAUAAGAUUUAAUUCGUUUUUAGUAAUAUUUUAAGGGUCUAAUCCUAUUAGGUUCAGUUUUAUAAUCCUAAAAAUUAGCCUAGGGUUUUAGUUGAGAGUUCAAGAAGAGAAAAGAAGAAGAAAGAAGAGGAGAAAUAAAAGAGAAAGGAUUGAAGCGUUCGUCGAAAUUCUUAAGAGUUGUUGCGGAUUUUCGCCAUGGGUUUAAUCCCUAAGAGGUAUGUAAGCUUCCAUAGUGUUGGGUUUGUUCACCCACACGCCAAUCAUAUUAUUUUUCAGCGAAAUGUCAUUCUUGAAGUUGAAAGAUUAGAGUUUUAUAUAUUUUUAGCGGCAACUAACACUCUUUGUAUAUGUCCCUUAAGCCUUUAGCGACAUUGGAUCUAAUGACACUUAACUAAUGCCGUUAAAGACUUUAGCACUCUUUAUUAAUGUGUCUAUUUAUUCCGCUAAAAAAUAUUUUUGUUGUAGUGUAACAUUUUCAAAGUUUGUCCAAAUAAAGUGUUGAUUAAAUAAUCAAGUAAACUUUUUUUUAGUUUUGUAUUAGAUAAAGCAUGAUGAAAACAUAAUUAAAUAAAUAUAAAUAAUAUAGUAAUUAAUUUCUUUUCUUUCUAGGACUUGUAUAACUCUCAGCUAUUAUAACCUUUGUUACAUGACCCUCUGUCCUUCAAAUAGUCACUCUGUGGUAAUAGGCUACAAAUCACAUGAUGUAAAUUGUACUAGACAAGUUCUAUGCAACAUGCUCAACUUAGAAAACAUUGAGGGGAAGUCGAUCCCGAAUCAUCCAUGUGAUGGACUAUCCUCCAAAUCAACUGAGUCAUCCUGAAGGACCAUAUAACAAAUUAAAUUAAGCUUUUACAUGACACUAUCACAUACAUUAUGUCAUUGUGUAUUUCUUUUACAGCUAAGUACUGUUGAAACAUCAUUGUGAUUUUUUUCUUUGUUUUCUUGUUAUUAAAGCAAGAAUUUACAUGUGAAAUAUAUUGACCUUGGCUUUUAUCAAUAUAUUGUAACACUUUGAUCUUGACAAAUUGAAUAUUUAUGUUCAUCAAAAUCUUCAAGUUGUUGUACCAUAGAAUGAGUAAUGGAAAAGUUGUUUUUGGGAUAAAAUAGAACAAAAGGGACGUGUUUUCUUAGCAACUUGAUCAAAGUAAGAUAAUUUAACUUGAAUUUGGCUAGCUCAAGAAGAAACUGUAAACAAAACUUGCAUUCUCACUUGUAUUUAAGUAGAGAGCGGAGAAUCUUAGUUAGCUUAGUUAGUUGAGUAUACAAAUUUUCACUUUGUUAGUGAGUGAUUGAUGAUACUCCAACCUUGUAAUACGCUUUUCCGUUUCUCUUUUUUCGUCACCUACCCUUAUUUGUCAAAUUUGGAUAUGAUACACUCGUUAAAAAAAAAAUUGACACGAUAUUUUAAUUAGCAUAUUAUCCCUAUUAAUUGAUAUUUAGUAUUAAAUCUUGAAAAAUGAUUUGGAGAAAAGUAAUUAAAACUAAAGGUAAAACAUGGAAACAUAAUUAUUUACUCUUGAAAUGUGAAAAAUGACAAGUAAAAGUGAACUGAUCUAGGGAGUAUAUUAUUUCCAGUUCAAUUUGUUUGUCAUAUUUUUACUUGAUACAAAGUUUAAAUAAUUUUUUUUUUUGAAUCUUGUGAUCUUAAAUAUGUUACGUGAAAAAUUAAAAUCAAGAGUACAGUUACUAAUAAAUAAAAGAGUCUUUUUUUUCAUUUUUCAAACGAAUAAAAAUGAAAAGUAGCACAUACGAAUUGAAACUGAGAGAGUACCUAAUGACUUAGAUAACCUGUUCAUAUAAUAUAUAAUAAUUAUAUAUAAAUUCAAACCAAAAAUAAUAUAAUAAUUGAUGAGAGAAUGCACAUAUUAAUUAAAAAAAACUCAAAUAUGCUAUCAAAUUUUGAGAAAAAGCUUAUCUAUGUCAUUUGUUAAGAGUUUAGCUUAUCUAUGCUAUUUUUGUUUGAGAAACGGUUCAUUCAUGUCAUUAUUUGUCAUUAAAUAGCAUAGAUGAGCCAAACAUUUAACAUAUGACAUAUAUGAACCUUUUCUCAAAGUUCAAGGACAUAUUUGUGCCUUUUUCCCUUUUAAAAAAUAAUUUAAUAAAUGACGUGACUGAAAAUCAUAAUUGACCACGUGUCAAAAAUGGGUUUUCAUAAUUGACCAUGUGUAAAAAAUAGUUUUGUAAAAUGGAAUUGGUUUAAGUUAACAAAUAAUGUCAUAAAUGAGUUGUUUUUCAAAAGUAAAUGGUAUAGAUGAAGCAAAUUUUUAACAGAUAACAUAAAUGAGCCUCUUCUCAAACUUUAAUGAUGUAUAUGAGUCUUUUCUCUAUUAACAAUAAUAAUUAAUAUUAUAUCUGAUAUCAAAUUUUAAAUAUUAUAUUAGAAAAAUAUACUAGUACUUAUUAACAUGGAUAAUAAACUAGAUGCCUAAAAUUAAAUGAUGAAGAGAGAAAUGAAAUGACAAAAUUCAAGUAGAAAAAUAUAGUCUAACAAUAAUCGAAGCUAAUUUAGUUUAAAAUUUUAGAAUUUGUUUCCUUUGACUUCCUUGUUUUCCCAUUGCCUUUUCAAGAGCUAUAUGAAAAUCUUUAAAAGGUACCAUAUCCAUCCUGUAAUAAAUUUAAUUAAAAAUCAAUAUUGCUACAUUGUUCAUUUUAAAUUCAAAAUAACUUCUUUUUUUUANNNNNNNNNNNNNNNNNNNNNNNNNNNNNNNNNNNNNNNNNNNNNNNNNNNNNNNNNNNNNNNNNNNNNNNNNNNNNNNNNNNNNNNNNNNNNNNNNNNNNNNNNNNNNNNNNNNNNNNNNNNNNNNNNNNNNNNNNNNNNNNNNNNNNNNNNNNNNNNNNNNNNNNNNNNNNNNNNNNNNNNNNNNNNNNNNNNNNNNNNNNNNNNNNNNNNNNNNNNNNNNNNNNNNNNNNNNNNNNNNNNNNNNNNNNNNNNNNNNNNNNNNNNNNNNNNNNNNNNNNNNNNNNNNNNNNNNNNNNNNNNNNNNNNNNNNNNNNNNNNNNNNNNNNNNNNNNNNNNNNNNNNNNNNNNNNNNNNNNNNNNNNNNNNNNNNNNNNNNNNNNNNNNNNNNNNNNNNNNNNNNNNNNNNNNNNNNNNNNNNNNNNNNNNNNNNNNNNNNNNNNNNNNNNNNNNNNNNNNNNNNNNNNNNNNNNNNNNNNNNNNNNNNNNNNNNNNNNNNNNNNNNNNNNNNNNNNNNNNNNNNNNNNNNNNNNNNNNNNNNNNNNNNNNNNNNNNNNNNNNNNNNNNNNNNNNNNNNNNNNNNNNNNNNNNNNNNNNNNNNNNNNNNNNNNNNNNNNNNNNNNNNNNNNNNNNNNNNNNNNNNNNNNNNNNNNNNNNNNNNNNNNNNNNNNNNNNNNNNNNNNNNNNNNNNNNNNNNNNNNNNNNNNNNNNNNNNNNNNNNNNNNNNNNNNNNNNNNNNNNNNNNNNNNNNNNNNAAUUUUUUAUGUGUCUAGCGCUUUCAUCAAUAUGAAAGAGGAAGCUUUUGGGUUGUACCUGUAUCACUAGGGUCAUUACAUCAAAAAUGAUCUAUAACAAUAAUUAAUUAAUGAUAAUAACUUAAUUGUCACUAAAUAUGUAUUUUUAGCGGCAAUCCGUUAAAAGUUAUUUUUAUUGUAGUGGGACUGGGAGGACGUUAAAUAGUAAACUAAACGAAGAUGAUUGCACAGAAGAUCGACCUAAAAAGCCAAUGUUCUUGGUACAAAAUCUCAUGUUCUAAAUUUAUUUCUUAUUUCAUAAUCAUAUAUAAGAUUUGAACUAAAGUUAUUGAGAAUACUGGCUAAACUUGUAACUUAAAUCCUAUUUCAUGAUAAUUUGACACGUAAUUAUCUAAUAUAGCUAUAGUUUGAAUAAUUACCUGAAAGAUAAGCGGCAUGAAUAACCAAAUCUCCAGGGGAAAAAAGCCAUAACAGCAGAGCCCACAGAAUGUAUUUCUCCAACACCUUCCCAUCCCCCUAUUGCAGGUGUUGGUGGCAGUACCGGAUACACUCCUGCAAUUAUUAGUAAAAUUAAGGACUCGAUUAUUAAAAUUAUUCACUAUUUUAUUAACUUCUUUUUCUCAAUUAUGGAAGUUCUAUAUUUAACUUGAAGUUGCAUUUUAAAUUUGGAAAACGGCCUAUAAUAUGUUUUUUAAACUCAUUUUUCACUUUUCAUGUUGUAUCUAUGUACAAUGUACACUCAACCUUGAAGUCACUUCGAAUAUUCUUUAGAAAAAAUUAUAACCAAGCACAACUUCAUGAAUCUCCACCCCCCCCCCCACAACCCCACCCUACAACCAAAAUCGAUAGCUAGGAGUUUAUUCACACCUUAACUAAUUUCAUAAAAUGCCUAACAUAUUUUACUAACAAUAGAUAACAGAUAACCAUGUUCAACAAGACUAUAACAUGAUAGUGACUUAAUUUGCUCACACUUUGAUUAAUCUCAUGAAAUGUGACAUAUUCUACUAGUAAUAGUUUUUUAAACUCAUUUUUCACUUUUUAUGUACAUUCAACCUUAUUCUUUAGAAAAAAAUAUAACCAAGCACAACUUCAUAUAGUGUAAUUUUCCUUCGAAGAAGUCACAGAGUUUUUUUUCCUUUAUUGAAAUUAAUUAAACCUACAACCUAGUAAUUACUAUAUCAACUAUUAGUUUGAAAAAUAUUCUUUCUUUCAUUCUAUUUUUCUUGUAACACUGAUAUUAUAUAAUAUAUAUAUAUAUUUAUAUAUAAAGGAGAAAAAGAGAAUUUAAUGGAAUUAACCCUCUAUUCUGUUGAUAUCGGCGGGAUUGAUGGGAGCUGCAAGCAUUUUCACGCACACCUCGUUCUCAUUCAUCUCCACCGGUGGAAUCUUCGUAACUCUGUCGGAAUUAGAAUUUUCACUAACAUGAUUUAAAAUAUAAAAAAAUAAAUAAACAUAUAUUAUAUAUACAUAAAAAAAAUUAAUUGUAUAUAUAUAAUAUAAUUUUUUACAACGCAAGGGUGGUGGUAGGAGGACAUUGUGAAUCUAGAACGGACCUUGUGACGGUGUCGGGCGGGCCGUGUUGGUCGUAGACAACGGCGGUGGAUGGCGGAGACAUGGUGGCCAGGAAGUUUACGACGGAGGUUUGUUUAGGGACGACCAAAUUUGAGUGACGAGAAAACAUUAUCCUACAAAUUUUUGAUGUAUUGUAUUAAAGUGUUUUUAAGUUUUCACUUGGAAACAUUUGGGGAAAAUGCAGCUACUUAUAAUGUAAAAUGAUAAUAAUAAUAACGGAAAGGGGUCAUAAAUACCCUUAAACUAUUCGAAAUAGCUCAUAUAUACCCUUAAACUAUAUUUCGGCUCAAAACUACUCUUCCCGUCAAACUAUUUGGUCAAAAGUACCAUUCUUAUUAACGAAAGUUGUAAAAUGCCAUGUGAAUACCACAUGUCAUGCCAAUACUAAUUACGCUUUUUUCCACUGCCACAUAGACUAAAUUCCUAAAUCUUAAUUACUCUUUCUUUUCCCUCAUUUCAUUAUUUUCCAAAAACGAUUUCACCCCUUCUCCCUCGUUUCGCGGCUAGGUUGGGAGAAGUUGUGAAACCUAGCUACGAAAUGAGGGAGAAGGGGUGAAAUCGUUUAUGAAAAUAAUGUAAUGAGGGGAAAAAAAGAGUACUUAAGAUUUAGGGAUUUAGUUUAUGUGGCAGUAGAAAAAAAAGUAAUUAGUAUUGGCAUGCCAUGUGGGAAUGAGAAGUCAUAUUAUCAGCUGAUUAUAUUUUUAUUUUCCGUUUUAAUAACUAGAUUUAUUUAACUUGUUUGAUUGAGGAUCUAUAAAAUACAAGUUAAUAUAAGAGUGCCAAAAUAAUUUUAAAAAUCUUAAUUUUCAACAUUAGGUGUAAAAGUUGGUACUUAGAGUCAAAUGAUAUGAUAUUUGAAACAAAUGUCAUAAUAUUAUUGGCAUUUAUAUUUAAUGUGAUUAUUUAAAUAACAUUUCGUGUCAAAUGUCAUUUAAUACAAUGUAAAGGGGGUUGUGUAGUUGUUCCAGCAAUGUUAUGAUUGGGUGGCUCAUCGGAGCUCCGGCGAGCUAUUCGCCGGAGACGAAGAUAAAUAGUGAAACUGUUUGUUAAAUAAAAAAUCUGAAAAUUAUUCAAUCCUAAUCUAAAAAAUUAAUCAUCACCCUCAAAAAUUUAAAAACACUCAUUCUACGAAUUGAAAAUUUAAUAUAUAACAUAUAUUAGACUAAUAUUUUCAAGUUAUAGCAGUAGAAUUAAACUUUCAAGUUGUAAAAAUAAACUGUUAUAUGUAAGAAUUGUUUAAAAGUAUGUUUAAAACCCGUAAAAUUUACUCUUAAAUGUGUAUAUGGCGUGAAAAUUCUAAUUCCGACAGAGUUACGAAGAUUCCACCGGUGGAGAUGAAUGAGAACGAGGUGUGCGUGAAAAUGCUUGCAGCUCCCAUCAAUCCCGCCGAUAUCAACAGAAUAGAUGGUUAAUUCCAUUAAAUUCUCUUUUUCUCCUUUAUAUAUAUAUAUAUAUAUAAAAUAUCAGUGUUACAAAAAAAAUAGAAUGCAAAAAAGAAUAUUUUUCAAACUAAUAGUUGAUAUAGUAAUUACUAGGUUGCAGGUUUAAUUAAUUUCAAUAAAGGAAAAAAUACUCUGUGAUUUCUUCGAAGGAAAAUUACACUAUAUGAAGUUGUGCUUGGUUAUAUUUUAUUCUAAAGAAUAAGGUUGAAUGUACAUAAAAAGUGAAAAAUGAGUUUAAAAAACUAUUGCUAGUAGAAUAUGUCAGACAUUUCAUUAGAUUAGUCAAAGUGUGAGCAAAUUAAGUCACUAUCAUGUUAUAGUCUUGUUGAACAUGGUUAUCUGUUAUCUAUUGUUAGUAAAAUAUGUUAGGCAUUUUAUGAAAUUAGUUAAGGUGUGAAUAAACUCCUAGCUAUCAUUUUGGUUGUGGGGUGGGGUGCGGGGUGGGGAUUCAUGAAGUUGUGCUUUGUUAUAAUUUUUUCUAAAGAAUAUUCGAAUAAUCUUCAAGGUUGAGUGUACAUUGUACAUAGAUACAACAUGAAAACUGAAAAAUGAGUUUAAAUAACAUAUUAUAGGCCGUUUUCCAUACUUUUGUUGAUGCACCUGUUAUUUGAGGUUUUCUAGUUUUCUUUUAAAUAAAGGGUCAAUUGAGUUGUAUUAUUCACUACAAAAAAAAUGGAGAUACAACGACAUUAUGUAAAAAUCGUAUUAGGCAGUUUAAAUAUCGCAAAACUACUUACCGACAUUUGAUUGUCGAGAAUUUUCGGACAUUUAAAGAAAUGUUGAUAAUUAAUAAGCGACCUUUAUUCAUGACAUAUAUAAAAUGUCACUUAUUUUUUUAUAUUUAAAUUAUUUUCAAAAAACAAUUUACGACAUUUAUUUGUGACCUUUAUAAAUUGUCACAUUAAAAUUAAAUUUUUGCCAAUAUCAAAAUAACUUUUUUUACGACAUUUGUAAAAUGUUUUCUCCGUGUAAAAUUAAUGACAUUUUUUUAAAACUAUGCAAAUGUUGCUUUAAAAUUUCCAACCAUUAUUGGCUGCAAACUGAAACAAAGGGUCGAACUUAAGCUCACCUUAACUUUGCAAUUUUUAAGUUAUUGAUAUGAAGGUCACGUCACCAUAUAUCGAUUAAUUAAGGUAAAAGUUACUACUUUUAUUUUGUAAGCAUUCAAUAAUUUUGUUCUACAAGUUAAUAUAAGAGUGCUCCUCCCAGUCCCACUACAAUAAAAAUAACUUUUAACGAAUUACUGCUAAAAAUACAUAUUUAGUGGCAAUUAAGUUAUUAUCAUUAAUUAAUUAUUGUUAUAGAUCAUUUUUUAUGUAGUGACCCUAGUUAUAUAGGCAUGUCAUAAUAUUAUUGGCAUUUAUAUUUAAUGUGAUUAUUUAAAUAACAUUUCGUGUCAAAUGUCAUUUAAUAGCUAGACACAUAAAAAAUUCUGAUUUUCCUUCCCAAAAGCACAUUUACAAAACAAACUGAUGAAAGCGCUAGACACAUAAAAAAUUAUGAUUUUCCUUCCGAAAAGCGCAUUUACCAAAAAAAAAAAAAAACUCGUAAAAUUCAAAUUCUGAACUCUUAGUUUUAUGUCUUUUAUGUUCCAGGGACAUGGCAAACCUAUGUGGUAGAAGAUCAAAGUUUAUGGUACAAAAUAGACAAAAACACUCCAAUUGAAUAUGCUGCCACUAUUUCUGUUAAUCCUUUGAGUGCCUUGAGAAUGCUUGAGGACUUUGUGGCUUUAAAAUCAGGUUUAUUAUUUAAAUUUCCUAAUUAAAAACAUGUUUAAUUAUUUUAAUUUGAUUUAAAAAUUAAUUAGUUUUUUUUUCGAUUAAACAGGGGACACAAUUGUUCAAAAUGGAGCUACAAGCAUAGUAGGGCAAUGCGUUAUUCAAUUAGCUCGAAUUCGUGGAAUUCAUAGCAUUAAUAUCAUAAGAGAUAAACCUGAAUCUGAUAAAAUUAAAGAAAAAUUAAUUAAAUUUGGCGCUAAUAAAGUAUUUACUGAAAGUGAACUUGAAGUCAAAGGUGUCAAAAAUCUCCUGGUAUGAAAUUAACUUUUAUAUACGAACAUUAUAAUUAUUUUUUAAAUAAUCAACGAGUGUAUUUUUUUUUUUAAUAUGUUGUAACGAUCGAUGAUGUGUUGUAGGGUGAUAUACCUAAACCUAGUUUGGGUUUGAAUUGUAUUGGUGGAAAUGCAGCUAAUAUGGUGGUAAAAUUCUUGAAGUGUGAUACUUUUUUUAUUUUUUUAAAUUAUUGUUUUCUUCAAAGUUUAAAGUUUUUACUUUUUUUUUUUUGGUUAAAUAUUGAAGAUAUACAAUAUUAUUUUUAUUAUUUUUAAGGCAAGGUAGUAUAUUGAUUACAUAUGGAGGGGUGUCAAAGAAGCCAAUUACCAUAUCUACUCCAUAUUUUAUAUUCAAGGUUAGUUUUCAAAUGAUCAAUUAUAAAAUUUAAACAAUAAGUAAUUCUUUGGAUCAUAUAUUGAACAAUUAUUGAGAGUAUAUCGAAAAUAAUAUAUACGUACGUUUUAUUUAUUUGAAGAUAAAUAUUGAAGAUUUACAAUAUUAUUUUUAUUAUUUUUAAGGCAAGGUGGUACUAUGGUUACAUAUGGAGGGGUGUCAAAGAAGCCAAUUACCAUAUCUACUCCAUAUUUUAUAUUCAAGGUUAGUUUUCAAAUGAUCAAUUAUAAAAUUUAAACAAUAAGUAAUUCUUUGGAUCAUAUAUUGAACAAUNNNNNNNNNNNNNNNNNNNNNNNNNNNNNNNNNNNNNNNNNNNNNNNNNNNNNNNNNNNNNNNNNNNNNNNNNNNNNNNNNNNNNNNNNNNNNNNNNNNNNNNNNNNNNNNNNNNNNNNNNNNNNNNNNNNNNNNNNNNNNNNNNNNNNNNNNNNNNNNNNNNNNNNNNNNNNNNNNNNNNNNNNNNNNNNNNNNNNNNNNNNNNNNNNNNNNNNNNNNNNNNNNNNNNNNNNNNNNNNNNNNNNNNNNNNNNNNNNNNNNNNNNNNNNNNNNNNNNNNNNNNUUUAUUUAUUUCAAACUUGACCAUUUGUAGAUCACUAAAUAUGUUGUUAUAUAUUGAAUUAUCUUUUUUUUUAAAGGAUAUUUCCUUGAAAGGAUACCUGUUACAAGAAAAGAAUUUAGAUGAAGCACAAUAUAGGUGUUCGAUUGAUCAUCUAUUGGCCCUCGUUCGUGCUGGGAUAUUGCAAUAUGAGUACAAUUUCUUACUCUCUCGAUCAAUUAAUUUUGUAAUUCUUUAUGAAUUUAAAUAUAAUUUUACUAAAAAAAAGAAGUUAUUUUGAAUUUAAAAUGAACAAUGUAGCAAUAUUGAUUAUUUUUUUUAAAUUUAUUACAGGAUGGAUAUGGUACCUUUUAAAGAUUUUCAUAUAGCUCUUGAAAAGGCAAUGGGAAAACAAGGAAGUCAAAGGAAACAAAUUCUAAAAUUUUAAAAUAAAUUAGCUUCGAUUAUUGUUAGACUAUAUUUUUCUACUUGAAUUUUGUCAUUUCAUUUCUCUCUUCAUCAUUUAAUUUUAGGCAUCUAGUUUAUUAUCCAUGUUAAUAAGUACUAGUAUAUUUUUCUAAUAUAAUAUUUAAAAUUUGAUAUCAGAUAUAAUAUUAAUUAUUAUUAUUAAUAGAGAAAAGACUCAUAUACAUCAUUAAAGUUUGAGAAGAGGCUCAUUUAUGUUAUCUGUUAAAAAUUUGCUUCAUCUAUAUCAUUUACGUUUGAAAAAAAGACUCAUUUAUGACAGUAUUUGUUAACUUAAACCAAUUCCAUUUUACAAAACUAUUUUUUACACGUGGUCAAUUAUGAAAAACCAUUUUUGACAUGUGGACAAUUAUGAUUUUCAGUCACGUCAUUUAUUGAAUUAUUUUUUUAAAGGGAAGAAGGCACAAACAUGUCCUUGAACUUUGAGAAAAGGUUCAUAUAUGUCAUAUGUUAAAUGUUUGGCUCCUCUAUGCUAUUUCAAUUGACAAAUAAUGACAUGAAUGAACCGUUUCUCAAACAAAUAUAGCAUAGAUAAGCUAAACUCUUAACAAAUGACAUAGAUAAGUUUUUUUUCAAAACUUGAUAGCAUAUUUGAGUUUUUUUUAAUUAAUAUGUGACAUUCUCUCAUCAAUUAUUAUAAUAUUUUUGGUUUGAAUUUAUGUAUAAUUAUUAUAUAUUAUAUGAACAGGUUGUCUAAGUCAUUAGGUACUCUCUCGGUUUCAAUUUGUAUGUGCUACUUUUCAUUUUUAUUCGUUUCAAAAAAGAAAAAGAAAAAGACUUUUUUAUUUAUUAGUAACUUAUUUAAGAUCACAAGAUUCAAAAAAAUAAUUUAUUUAAACUUUGUAUCAAGUAAAAAUAUGACAAACAAAUUGAAUUGGAAAGAAUAUACUCCCUAGAUCAGUUCACUUUCACUUGUCAUUUUUCACAUUUCAAGAGUAAAUAAUUAUUUUUCCAUGAUUUACCUUUAGUGUUAAUUACUUUUUUCUCCAAAUCAUUUUCAAGAUUUAGUACUAAAUAUCAAUUAAUAGGGAUAAUAUGCUAAUUAAAAUAUCGUGUCAAAUUAUUUUAUUUUACUGAGUGUAUCAUAUCCAAAUUUGACAAAUAAGGGUAGGUGACGAAAAAAGAGAAACGGAAAAGCGUAUUACAAGGUUGGAGUAUCAUCAAUCACUCACUAACAAAGUGAAAAGUUGGAGUAUCAUCAAUCACUCACUAACAAAGUGAAAAGUUGGAGUAUCAUCAAUCACUCACUAACAAAGUGAAAAGUUGGAGUAUCAUCAAUCACUCACUAACAAAGUGAAAAUUUGUAUACUCAACUAACUAAGCUAACUAAGAUUCUCCGCUCUCUACUUAAAUACAAGUGAGAAUGCAAGUUUUGUUUACAGUUUCUUCUAUUUUAUCCCAAAAACAACUUUUCCAUUACUCAUUCUAUGGUACAACAACUUGAAGAUUUUGAUGAACAUAAAUAUUCAAUUUGUCAAGAUCAAAGUGUUACAAUAUAUUGAUAAAAGCCAAGGUCAAUAUAUUUCACAUGUAAAUUCUUGCUUUAAUAACAAGAAAACAAAGAAAAAAAUCACAAGUCUUGCCGAUUUCACUAAAAAGAUGUUUCAAUACUUAGCUGUAAAAGAAAUACACUGCUAUAAUGUAUGUGAUAGUGUCGUAUAAAAGCUUAAUUUAAUUUGUUAGAUGAUCCUUCGGGAUGACUCAGUUGAUUUGGAGGGUAGUCCAGCACACGGAUAAUUCGGGAUCGACUUCCCCUCAAUGUUUUCUAAGUCGAACAUGUUACAUAGAACUUGUCUAGUACGGUUUACAUCAUAAUAUUUAUAGGCUAUUACCACAGAGUGACUAUCUGAAAGACAAAGGGUCAUGUAACAAAGGUUAUAACAACUGAGAGUUAUACAAGUCCUAGAAAGAAAAGAAAUUAAUUACUAUAUUAUUUAUAUUUAUUUAAUUAUGUUUUCAUCAUGCUUUAUCUAAUACAAAAUUUUUUUAAAAAAGUUUACUUGAUUAUUUAAUCAACACUUUAUUUGGACAAACUUUGAAAACAUUACACUAUAACAAAAAUAUUUUUUAGCGGCAAUAAAUAGACACAUUAAUAAAGAGUGUUAAAGUCUUUAACGGCAUUAGUUAAGUAUCAUUAGAUUCAAUGUCCCUAAAUGCUUAAGGGACAUAUACAAAGAGUGUUAAUUGCUGCUAGAAAUACAUAUUUAGCGACCAUUGAGCUAUUCCGUUAAUUAAUUGUCGCUAAAAAUCAGGUAGUAUUAGUACAAUAAUUCAACUGAACUGACCCUUUAUUUAAAAGGAUUUUGAGGUGAUAUGGAUUUUGAUGUUGAUCGAUAUUUUUUCAUCGAAAAAUUACAUUUUAGUUAUAAUAAAAAUAUUUUUUAAAUAUAUUUAUAUAUCAGAAAAGCUGUUUUGAGGUUAUAGGGAAUAAAUUGGGACCUUAAUGGGCCAUACGUAAGGACAUCGAGAUAUUAGCUCAAAGAAAUAUAGGUGUAUUUAUUAGUUCAGUUCAUUUAUUUAGGCCAACUCAAGCUCCUCAAUACUAUGUAUAAAAAAAUAAAUAGAAAUUAGCGAAAAAUAAAAUUUAUUGUUGAAUAGUAAAAGUUUAUUUUGACAAGAGAAUAGUGACCAGUGAUUAAAAAAAAAUCUUGUUUGUUACAGAAUAUUUACUGAUAAAUUAGAAAUAAUUUCGUAGCUAAUUCAUAUUUUAAAGUUAUAAUAGUAGUAAAGUGAUGGAUUCAAAUAAAGAUUUUAAUAAUAAAUCUCUUAUUGAUUACUACAUUAUAACAUAUUUAGUGUAGGUUUAUAAAAUAGAGUUAGGCGAAAAUAGAAUGUACGUGAAUGUUAUUCCUACCUCAGAAGUAGAGAAGCUGUGUUUGAUAGAUAUUUGGCUUAAGAAAAAAUAGCCUAAAAGAAAAAAACUACAAGAAACAACAGAUAAUAAAAAAAUUAGUAGAUAAUAACAGAAUGGAAAGUACAGUAAAAUAAUAUAAUAAUCGAGAUACAAGAAAUAAUAAUAACAAAAAAUAACAAGAACUUUUUUAAAUUGGUAUAUUUAAGAUAUUUUUAAAACAUAGUACUAAAUAUCAAUUAAUAGGGGUAACAUGCUAAAAUAGUGAUCAUGUCUGUUAUUGUUUUCUAAUAAGUAUAUCAGAUUCAAAUUUGACAAAUAAAUUAAGGUAGGUGAAGAAAAAAGGGAAAUGGGAAAUCGUACUAUAAUUAAGGUGGGAGGAUCAAUAACUCAUUAACAAAGUCAAAAGUCAAGUAUAAUCUAUUUUUGUCACGGGGCAUUAAAUAUGUGAACGUGAUACCAACAGUAUUUUUUAGGUCAUUUCUUGUUUUAAUAAUUACAACAAGACAAAGAAAAAAUCAUAAGUCUGGUUGCUUUCACUAGUUUCAAUGCUUAGCUGUAAAAGAACUACACAAUGUUACUUAUAAAGUAUGUGAUACUCUCGUGUAAAAUUAAGCUUCAUUUGAUUUGUUAUAUUGUUCUUUGUCAUGACUCAGUUGAUUUGGAUGGUUGUCAUUCAUACGGAUGAUUCGGGAUUAAUUCUCUUUUAAUAUCUUUUGAAUCAAGCUAAUCGCAUAAAAUUAGCCUAGUGUGGUUUACAUCCCUUAUGUGGUUUGUAGGCUGUUACUACACAGUGACUAUCUGAAGGACCAAUGGUGUGACAAAAGUUUAUUUUUUUGGUUUCCCAUCCGGUGUUCGGUAUCCACAUUAGAGCCCUAUUAAAUCCGAAUUCACUCCGGGAUGUCCCACAUUGGAGGGGGAAAGGGUGGAGGUAAAACGCUCCCUAACAAAGGCGCCUCCAUACCCAAGGGGACUCAAACCCGAGACCUUUUGGUUUAGGAUGAAGGAGUACUUACCACUCCACCACAACCUUGUUGGUGAGGUUGUGACAGAGGUUAUAACAGUGGAGUGUUAUCCUAGAGAUCUAAAAAGAAAAUAAAAGAAAUUAAUUAGUAUAUUAUUUAUAUUUAUUUGAUUAUGUUUUCAUCAUGGUUUUAUCUAAAACAAACUAUAAAAAAAUAAGGUUACUUGAUUAUUUAUUCUACACUUUAUUUGGACAAACUUUGAAAACUUUACAUGAUAGGGAAUUAGGGAUUAAUGAGACCUCAAUGGGCCAUAUGUGAGGAUCAGUGGUGGGUAGAGCCACUUAUAGUUGUGGGAUGGUGAUCGAUACUCCAUCGUCAGAAAAUUAUAUUGUGUAUUAGUUAAAAUAAAAAUAUUUUUUGUCAUAUAUAUUACAUAUGAACACUUCUUAACUUUUACAUGAUUUUACUUCUUUAUAUUUUAACACACCUUAAUUAAUAUUCUUGCUCCGCCACUAAUGAAGACAUGCCAAUUUAUGUAUUUAUCGAAGGAUCAACUCAAAGAAAAAUAAGUGAACUCCUUAAUUAUUAUGCAUAAAAACCUGUAAAUAGCGACAAAUAAAAGUUAUCGCUAAAUUUCAAGUAUUACACCUUAAGCUGAAUUGGAUCUUCAAAAAGAUAAAUGAAGAAAAAGAACAUGUGAAAAAUAAUGUUGAAAAGGAUAUAUAUAUUGGGGAAGAUAUAUUUUCAAUAAUGCAACCAAGCAGAGGCGGAGCCAGCAUAUUGUCAGGGGUUGGGAAACCCUUUUGAUGGAAAAUAUUAUUAUUUAUAUAUGGUUAAAAUUACUUUUUAGGUAUAUAUAGUAGAUGUCGAACCUCAUUCAACUAGUUCGUGUGUUUCUUUCUUCAAAUUUUGAACCCUUUAUUUAAAAUCAUGACUCCGCCACUGCAACUAAGUGUAUGAUCGUCUCACAUAAUGUUUUAUCUAAAAUAAACUAUAAAAUAAUAUUUUUACUUAUUAAUUAGGUAUUCUAAGACUUUAUUUGGGUAGACAUUGAAAACGUUAGUACAAUAAUUUAACUCAACUAACCCUUUAUUUAGAAAAAUAGAUAACGUUAGAUACAAGAAUCAAAUAACAUGUGAAUUUAAUUUUAAAAUGUUUUCUUGAGGUGAUGAUGGGAAUAAAUUGGAACCUCAAUGGGCCAUACGUAAGGACAUCGAAAUAUUAACUGAAAGAAAAAUAGGUGUAUUAAUACUAUAUAUAAAAAUAAUAGAAAUUAGCGACAAAUAAAAUUUAUUGUUGAAUACUAAAAAUUUAUUUGACAAGAGAAUAGUGACAAGUGAUAAAGAAAAAUCUUAUUUGUUACAGAAUAUUUACUGAUAAAUUAGAAAUAAUUUCGUAGCUAAUUCAUUUUUUUAAAAAGUUAUAAUAGUAAUAAAGUGAUGGAUUCAAAUAUAGAUUUUUAAUAAUAAAUUUCUUAUUGAUUACUACAUUAUAACAUAUUUAGUGUAGGUUUAUAAAAUAGAGUUAGGUGAAAAUAGAGUGUACGUGAAUCUUAUUCCUACCUCAGAAGUAGAGAGGUUGUCUUUAAGAGAUAUUUGGCUCAAGAAAAAAUAGUCUAAAAGAAAAAGACUACAAGAAACAACAGAUAAUAAAAAAAAUAGUAGAUAGUAACAGAAUGGAAAGCACAGUAAAAUAGUAUAAUAAUCGAGGUACAAGAAAUAAUAGUAACAAAAAAAAAAAAGAACUUUUCUAGUGCGGUUUACAUCCGCUAGAGAAUGAAGAAAAAAGAAAUGUGAAAAAUAAUGUUGAAAAGGUUAUAUUAGGGAAGAUGUAUCUUAAGUAAUGCAAUAAGUGUCUGAUUGUUUAAUAUAAAAGUUUAAUUUAAUUUGUUAAAGAAAUUAGUAUAAUAUUUAUAUUUAAGUUUUCAUCAUGUUUUAUCUAAAAUAAAUUAUAAAAUAAUAUUCUUUCUUAAUAAUGUGCUCCCAGCUCUGUCCCCUUUUAUAUGACAUUCUUUUCUAUAAAUAGUUGGACCACAAUACUUGCCAUUUUAUAAAUUUUUUUGCAUAAAUUACCAUAUUUUGCCUAUUAUAACUUUGAUAGAGUAGUUAAUUAAUCUUGAAAAUGUAUUCAUCAUUUAUUAUAAAGUUGACUUAAGAAAACAUUAAAUAAGGAUAGAAGGGUAAAGUUACAUCAUUUCUUAAUGCAAGCANNNNNNNNNNNNNNNNNNNNNNNNNNNNNNNNNNNNNNNNNNNNNNNNNNNNNNNNNNNNNNNNNNNNNNNNNNNNNNNNNNNNNNNNNNNNNNNNNNNNNNNNCGGUUGCUUUAAUUUUGGGUUACAAUUCGAGUUAUUUAUCUUUUUUCGAUUUUUAUAAACAAAUUGAUCAAGCAUGCAUGUUAGUAACAUUUUCUUUUCGAUAUUAUCAGAUUAGAGAUAACUAAACAAUUCAAUUUUUAAUUUCUUUUUAGGAAUUAGUGGCCUUAUUCUCUGAGGAAAAAAGGGAUUUUUCUCACUAAAAUUUGAGCUUGUAUAAACUAUCUAAUAGUGUUAACUUACUAUAUUUAAUAUUUCAUUGACUUUAUGUGUUGUUGCAAAUAUAUAACAAAGAGAAUAAAUUUUUUAGUUUUAACCUAGUCAUCUUACUUAGCAAGAACGUCAGUGAAGAUAGAAAGAACCUUUAAAUUAAAAGAACUCUAAUAAUAAUAUCCAUCAUUUUUAAAACUUAUAUUUUGUUUAGUAGGUGGCAAAGAAAAUAUAUAUUACUUUCUUAUAUAUAAAUAUAUAGUUUUUUCUGAGAUCACUCGUGCCAUAGCACCCCACGGGUACCAUAGAUCCGCCUCUGAAUGCAAGUGUAAAGUAAAAAUGUGACAUAUAAAAAAAGAUUUAUUUGGGUAGACUUUGUAAUGGUGUUAGUACAUACAAUAAUACAACUCAACUAACCCUUUAUUUUAGAAAAAAACUUGAUUACGUUAAGGUACAAGAAUCAAAUUGGGACCUCAAUGGGCCACGCGUAAGGACCUAGUACGUAUCGAAACAUUAACUCAUCAAAGAAAAAAAGAUGCAUUUAUUAGUUCAAUUCAUUUAUUAGGACUACUCAACCUAUCAACACUUUGUUUGGAUGGUUGUUACGUAUUGUUUCAUAAUGUAUUAUAUUGUAUUAUGUUAUUGUUAAGCGGUGUGGUUUUUUUUUCCUCAUGAGUUACAAUUUAAAAAUUGUUAAACCCUUCUAACUUAUCUCAACAUAUGGGCCAAGUGGCAUAGGGUCUUAAACAAGUUUCAGACUUAGCUCAUUAUUGUUACCCCUAUUAAUUGAUAUUUAGUACUAAGUCUCAAAAAUACCUUAAAUAUACAAUAUAAUUUUUUGUUGAGGGGGUUCGGGUGAACCCCUCGGCAACCUCUAGGUCUGCACUUGGAUACAAUCUAUCCAAACACUGUAUUCAUUGAAAUAAUAUAAUACGAUACAACUAAUUAUACCUACACUAUGACUAUCUUGUGCACCAAUUAAACCUAAUCCUUUUGUUGACAACCUUGUUAAAACCUCUUGACCCAAAAAUGUUACUUCCUUCUCAACUAUAAAUGAAGCAUUGGUUUGUUUGAAUAGUUUGGAAAGAAAAAAAUAUCACCCCGAGAUCAAACCAAUCCGAUAUUAUAUAUGUAAUUUUAAAAUUUUAUUUUAUACAUAAAUAUAUUUACUUUGAUAUAAUUUUAAAAUAUUUCUUAUACUAUUUCAUAGUUUUUAUCUUUUAAUAUAUUAUUUCAAGUUUUAGCAUUUCAUCCCCAGACGGAUGGUCAGGCAGAGCGUACCAUUUAGACCUUAGAGAAGAUCAUUUUCAUUAUGACUUUGCAAUAUUUAUUUUAUAUGAUGAUUUCAUUAUUAUUUUUUAUUGAAUAUGUUUGUUCAUCAGUACUCAUCUCAUAUUUUGUGUUAUUUUUUUAAGAAACACCUUAGAUAAUUGUAUUUUGGUUGGACUAAAGAAAUAUUUGGAGCACAAGUUAAUUAUAUGUUUGUAUGCAAACUUUACCGAAAAAAUCCAAAAAUCUGAAAAAAUCCGAGGUUUAUUAGUUUGGUUUGAUUUAUAAAUUUAAAAAUUCCACACAAUGGUUUGGUUUGGUAUUUGAAAAACACGAACCAAUCCGAGGUUGAAAAACCCGAAAAACUCCAAAUUUUAUUAGUUUGGUUUGGUUUAUAAAUUUAACUAUGACUAUCUUGUGAGGGUGUGCAACCAUUUUGGCACCAAUUAUAUCUAAUAUCAAAUUUUAAAUAUUAUAUUAGAAAAAUAUACUAGUACUUAUUAACAUAAAUAAUAAACUAGAUGCCUAAAAUUAAAAUGAUGAAGGGAGAAAUGAAAUGACAAAAUUCAAGUUGAAAAAUAUAGUCUAACAAUAAUCGAAGCUAAUUUAUUUUAAAAUUUUAGAAUUUGUUUCCUUUGACUUCCUUGUUUUCCCAUUGCCUUUUCAAGAGCUAUAUGAAAAUCUUUAAAAGGUACCAUAUCCAUCCUGUAAUAAAUUUUAAAAAAAUCAAUAUUGCUACAUUGUUCAUUUUAAAUUCAAAAUAACUUCUUUUUUUUAGUAAAAUUAUAUUUAAAUUCAUAAAGAAUUACAAAAUUAAUUGAUCGAGAGAGUAAGAAAUUGUACUCAUAUUGCAAUAUCCCAGCACGAACGAGGGCCAAUAGAUGAUCAAUCGAACACCUAUAUUGUGCUUCAACUAAAUUAUUUUCUUGUAACAGAUAUCCUUUCAAUGAAAUAUCCUUUUAAAAAAGAAGAUAAUUCAAUAUAUAACAACAUAUUCAGUGAUCUACAAAUGGUCAAGUUUGAAAUAAAUAAAGCAUACGUAGAUAUUAUUUUUGAUAUACUCUCAAUAGCCGUUCAAUAUAUGAUCCAAAGAAUUACUUAUUGUUUAAAUUUCAUAAUUGAUCAUUUGAAAACUAACCUUGAAUAUAAAAUAUGGAGUAGAUAUGGAAAUUGGCUUCUUUGACAUCCCUCCAUAUGUAACCACAGUACCGCCUUGCCUUAAAAAUAAUAUUGUAUAUCUUCAAUAUUUAACCAAAAAAAAAGUCAAAACUUUAACUUUGAAGAAAACAAUAUUUAAAAAAAUAAAAAAAGUAUCUCAGUUUAAGAAUUUUACCACCAUAUUAGCUGCAUUUCCACCAAUACAAUUCAAACCCAAACUAGGUUUAGGUAUAUCACCCUACAGCACAUCAUCGAUCAUUACAACAUAUUAAAAAAAAAAUACACUUGUUGAUUAUUUAAAAAAUAAUUAUACUGUUCGUAUAUAAAAGUUAAAUUCAUACCAGGAGAUUUUUGACACCUUUUACUUCGAGUUCACUUUCAGUAAAUACUUUAUUUGUGCCAAGUUUAAUUAAUUUUUCUUUAAUUUUAUCAGAUUCAGGUUUAUCUUUUAUGAUAUUAAUGCCAUGAAUUCCACGAAUUCUAGCUAAUUGAAUAACACAUUGCCCUACUAUGCUUGUAGCUCCAUUUUGAACAAUUGUGUCCCCUGUUUAAUCCAAAAAACUAAUUAAUUUUAAAUCAAAUUAAAAUAAUUAAACAUGUUUUUAAUUAGGAAAUUUAAAUAAUAAACCUGAUUUUAAAGCCAAUAAGUCCUCAAGCAUUCUCAAGGCACUCAAAGGAUUAACAGAAAUAGUGGCAGCAUAUUCAAUUGGAGUGUUUUUGUCUAUUUUGUACCAUAAACUGUGAUCUUCUACCACAUAGGUUUGCCAUGUCCCUGGAACAUAAAAGACAUAAAACUACGAGUUCAGAAUUUGAAUUUUACGAUUUUUUUUUUAUUUCGUAAAUGCACUUCUGGAAAGGAAAAUCAAUUUUUUUAAUGUGUCUAGCGCUUUCAUCAAUACGAAAGAGGAAGCUUUUGGGUUGUACCUGUAUAAUAGGGUCACUACAUCAAAAAUGAUCUAUAACAAUUAUUAAUUAAUGAUAAUAACUUAAUUGCCACUAAAUAUUAAUUGCCACUAAAUAUGUAUUUUUAGCGGCAAUCCGUUAAAAGUUAUUUUUAUUGGUAGUGGGGACUGGGAGGACGUUAAAUAGUAAACUAAACGAAGAUGAUUGCACAGAAGAUCGACAUGAAAAGCCGAUGUUCUUGGUACAGAAUCUCAUGUUCUGAAUUUAAUUCUUAUGUCAUAAUUAUAUAUAAGAUUUGAACUAAAGUUAUUGAGAAUACUGGCUAAACUUGUAACUUAAAUCCUAUUUCAUGAUAAUUUGACACGUAAUUAUCUAAUAUAGCUAUAGUUUGAAUAAUUACCUAAAAGAUAAGUUGCAUGAAUAACCAAAUCUCCAGGGGAAAAAGCCAUAACAACAGAGCCCACAUAAUGUAUUUCUCCAACACCUUCCCAUCCCCCUAUUGCAGGUGUUGGUGGCAGUACCGGAUACACUCCUGAUAUGCAAUUAUUAGUAAAAUUAAGGACUCGAUUAUAAAAAUUAUUCACUUUUUUAUUAACUUCUUUUAUACACUCCUGAUAUGCAAUUAUUAGUAAAAUUAAGGACUCGAUUAUAAAAAUUAUUCACUUUUUUAUUAACUUCUUUUUCUCAAUUAUGGAAGUUCUAUAUUUAACUUGAAGUUGCAUUUUAAAUUUGGAAAACGGCCUAUAAUAUGUUUUUUAAACUCAUUUUUCACUUUUCAUGUUGUAUCUAUGUACAGGGUACCCUUAACCUUGAAAACCCCCCCGCACCACCCCACCCCACCCCACAACCAAAAUGAUAUAUAGCUAGGAGUUUAUUCACAGCUUAACUAAUUUCAUAAAAUGUCUAACAUAUUUUACUAACAAUAGAUAACAGAUAACCAUGUUCAACAAGGCUAUAACAUGAUAGUAACUUAAUUUGCUCACACUUUGACUAAUCUCAUGAAAUGUCUGACAUAUUCUACUAGCAAUAAUUUUUUUAACUCAUUUUUCACUUUUCAUGUUGUAUCUAUGUACAGGGUACCCUUAACCUUGAAAAUUAUUCGAAUAUUCUUUAGAAAAAAAUAUAACCAAGCACAACUUCAUAUAGUGUAAUUUUCCUUCGAAGAAAUCACGCCAUAUACACAUUUAAGAGUAAAUUUUACGGGUUUUAAACAUGCUUUUAAACAAUUCUUACUUAUAACAGUUUAUUUUUACAACUUGAAAAUUUAAUUCUACUGCUAUAACUUGAAAAUAUUAGUCUAAUAUAUGUUAUAUAUUAAAUUUUCAUUUCGUAGGAGUGUUUUUAAAUUUUUGAGGGUGAUGAAUAAUAUUUUAGAUUAGGAUUGAAUAAUUUUCAGAUUUUUUAUUUAACAAACGGUUUCACUAUUUAUCUUCUUCUCCGGCGAAUAGCUCGCCGGAGCUCCGAUGAGCCACCCACCUCCUCUCAAACCCAGACAGAACAGCCCCAUUCCUUCAGCACCCUCACCGGAACACCAAUCUUAACAUUGCUGGAACAACUACACCACCCCCUUUACAUUGAAUUAAAUGAUGUCUCAGGAUAUAUGCGGAAUAGAAUAUUAUAAUUUAAUCUUUCACACUGUAUCGGUUGAGACUGAAAGAGUUUAAUAUCUUGCCUUAUUUCAUUGAUAACCAUGGUUUAUAUAUAAUCAAUACAAGACUAUAAUUAAGGAAACUAACUAGAUAUAAGAGGAACUAAAUAUACACUUAACUAAUGUGAUAUAUACAAAGAAUCAGAAUAUCUUUAUCAUAUAUUCUAACACGCCCCCUCAAUCGAAGCGGGAGGUCGCCGAAUGCUAAGACUGUCCCGAAAAUCCUCAAAUAACACCAACGGAAGACCCUUGGUGAAUAUGUCUGCAAUCUGAUAACGCGAGGGGACAUGUAACACUCGAACUUGACCGUGAGCCACAUUUUCUCGUACAAAAUGUAUAUCCAUUUCAAUAUGCUUAGUGCGUUGAUGCUGAACAGGAUUACUAGCAAGAUAUAUGGCACUCACAUUGUCACAAUACACCAAUGUAGCCUGUGGGAUAGGACAAUGAAGUUCCAAAAGCAAAUUUUGUAACCAACAUGACUUAGAAACCACAUUGGCAACCCCUCGAUAUUCAGCCUCUGCACUUGAACGGGAUAAAGUAGCUUGACAUUUAGCGGACCAAGAGAUCAAGUUAUCACCCAGAAAGACACAGUAACCCGAUAUGGAACGUCGUGUGUCUGGACAUCCACCCCAAUCAGCAUCAGUGUAUGAAAUAAGAGUGGAUGUGGAUGAAGAAAAUAGGUGAAGACCAAAGUCCAUAGUACCCUGUAUGUAGCGCAAAAUACGCUUAAGUGCGUGCAUGUGUUCCUCCCUCGGGUCAUGCAUGAAUAAGCAUACCUGCUGCACUGCAUACAUAAUAUCAGGUCUUGUGAACGUAAGGUACUGAAGUGCUCCAGCAAGACUCCUAUAAAGAAAUGGAUCCUUAAUCGAUUUGCUCGUAGUAGUGCCGACCUUCGGUUUUAUAUCAACUGGAGUGGGAGAAGCUUUGCAUGAUGACAUUCCAGCUUGUUCAAUGAUCUCAGUAGCAUAUUUCUUUUGUGAUAAAAAUAAACCACCUUCAUGUCGAGUGACUACAAUGCCCAGAAAAUAGCUCAACUCGCCCAAGUCCUUCAUAGCAAAUUCCUAGCUAAGAAAGGAGAUGAUAGACUGACGGAGCUUAUCCGAGGAAGUAGUCAAAAUGAUAUCAUCGACAUACAGUAAAAGAUAAGCCAUAGAAGUACCUCGAUGAUAAAUGAACAAUGAAUGAUCCGAAGUACUUUGAGAAAACCCAAGAGUACGGACAUAGUCAGCAAACCUCUUAUACCAAGCCCUUAGAGCCUGUUUGAGCCCGUAGAGAGAUUUCUUUAGCAAACAAACAUGAUUAGGGUGAGCGGGAUCCCGGUACCCCAAAGGUUGAUACAUGUAUACAGUCUCCUUGAGUUUCCCAUGUAAGAAUGCAUUUUUGAUGUCAAGUUGAUGAAUCUGCCAAGCCUUAGAGAGAGACAAACUGAGAACUGUGCGAAUAGUUGCCGGUUUGACGAUCGGACUAAACGUCUCACCACAAUCCACGCCAACCUGUUGAGUUUUAUUAUCACAUACAAGACGGGCUUUAUGCCUCUCUAAUAAACCAUCAGAUCUUUCUUUAUGAGCAAAAAUCCACAUCAACCUAAUUACAUUAACAUUUGGAGGACGGGGAACCAAUUCCCACGUCUUAUUUUCAAUAAGAGCAUUAUAUUCAUCAUCCAUAGCCAAUUUCCAAUUCAGGUCACGAAGAGCAGACAAAGGGUUACUAGGGAGGGGUGAUUUAGACGCUGAUGUAAGAAGGCUGAAAGGCUUCUUAGGCUUUGAAAUCCCAUAUUGACUCCUAGUAACUGGACUCGUGGGCAGUCGCGAGGGAGAGAUCGGAGUGGGGCAAAGAAGAGAGUUAGAUGAGAGAGGGGAAGGAGUAGAUGAGCUCGGUGUAGUUGACUGGGGAAGGCUAGCGGUCGACUGAGGAAGGCCGUGCUGCACGAUGGGCACAACGGAACCACUCGCUAGGCCAGGCGAUGUGGGUGCGAGUGCGUUUUGAAUAGGUGCAACUUGUGGGUUAGGAGAGGUAGUGAAAUGAUGGACCAUGUAUGGAGAUGGCCCAUCGUCAAGAAACCUAUAACUGUGAGUUUGAGGAGUAUGAGACUUUGCAUAGGGAAAUUGUGUCUCAUCAAAUAUUACGUGACGGCUAAUGAUGAUUUUUCUAGAUGACAAAUCAAAGCAUUUAUACCCACGAUGAUUUGACGGAUACCCCAAAAAAAACACAAGGAGUUGAUCGUGGUUGGAGUUUGUUGAUGGUUGUAGAGGGAAUAAAAGGAUAACAUAAACACCCAAACACCCGAAGAUGAGAAUAAGACAGAUCUUUUUGAUAAAGGAUGCGAAGAGGAAAUUGAUAAUGCAAUAGCUUAUGAGGAAGGAUACUGAGAAGGUAAGUCGCCAUUUGCAACGCAUGAUGCCAACAGAAAGGAGGAAGGGAAGCAUGGGCUAAUAAGGUACGAACAAUGUUGUUGAUCGUACAAAUUUGUCUUUCAGCUGUCCCAUUUUGAGGGAAUGUAUGAGGACAUGAAAGACGAAAUGAAAGGCCAUUUGCUUUACAAAAAUCCCAAAAGGGGCCAUUAUCAAAUUCCGUGCCAUUAUCACAUUGUUUAUUCUUUAUGUCCCGCUCAAGUUAGGUUCGAAGAAAUGUCUUGAAACUCAAAAAUGUGGAAAACAUUUGUGAUUUGUGCGAUAAAGGAAAAGUCCACAAAUUUUUUGAAUAAUCAUCCACAAACAAGACAUAAUAUCGAUGACCCGAUGAAUUCAAAACAGGGGACGUCCAAAUAUCACUAUGGAUAAUAUCAAAUGGCAUAACAAUGUGAGAAUUUGAAUGAUAAAAGGGCAACUUAACAUGUUUUCCAAGAGGGCAGAAUGCAAAUACGAGUGUCUUUAAUUUGAUUACAAUUCAAUCAAUUAUUCUUCCUAAGAGAGUUCAAAACAGGUCUUCUCGGGUGACCCAGACGAUCAUGCCAAAGAGAUGGUGCCAAAACAGCAAAAGAAGAUGGAGAAGUGGUUGGAGUAGUGAUGGGAUACAACUCGCCCCGACUUUCACACCUCAUUACCGGUCUCCCCGUCUGAAAAUCCUUAACAGUAAACCCACACGGAUCAAAUUCAACAAAGACAGAGUUAUCAGUUGUAAAUUUUCUAACUGACACCAAAUUUUUAACAAGGUGAGGGGCAUGAAGGACAUUGUUUAUAAAUUGUAAGGGAGGACACGGUGAAGAUAAUUUAGUGUGACCAUAACCAUGAAUUGGAAUUGAUUGACCAUUUCCAACUAUUAUACCACAUUUAUUUCUCUUAUUAAAAUAAGACGUGAGGUUACCUUGUGUGGAUGUCAUAUGAGAAGUGGCACCGGUAUUCAUGUACCAAUUUGCAUUCGGAGGAGUGAUUCCAAGAGUAUGCAUUGCAGCCUCAAUGUCGGUUGGAGAUGGAGCUGCUGUGUAGGCCUGCUGUGGUCUGGGCCCAAGCAGACCAGGCUGUUGUUUCAGCUGCUGUCCAUAAUUGGGCCUUGUCCAUGAGUUUGAUGGAUAUGGACAAGGAGGUAUAGCCCAGGGAGCCCACGGUGCCAUCCAAGGCCACGACUGACCUCCAGCCCAUGGAGAAUUGGGUGGCGAUUGCUGACCUGCUGGCUGUUGUCCGUCACCGCGGCUGUUGCCAUCCCCCAUUUGACCACCACCUCCAGCCUUACCUCCACCGUCGCUACCACCCUUGUUGCCUCCACGACCACCAUUGUUGUUGCGAUUAUUGUUGCGGUAUUGGUUCCGCUUCCCACCAUUAGUAUUGAGGUGUGAGGAGGAAUGGUCAACAAUAUCAUGCGAGCCAGUCGACUCACGAGCAACCAUAGCUGAUGUGAUAUAUACAAAGAAUCAUAAUAUCUUUAUCAUAAAUUUUAACAGAGACAUCUUUAAUUUUCAAACAUUUGUCAAUAUGUGUCCACAAUCUUAAUCUAUUUGAUUUAAUAGUUUUAGGAAGAGAUAUUGAAUAACUAUGACUUUAUUUUAACUUGCCAUAUAAACAUAUAAAAAAUCAUUGUUAACAAAAAUUGUACAAAUAUCAUGUUGUCUUUGCAUUCAACUAAUAGUAGAUAGUAACAAAAUGAAAACUACAAUAAAAUAAUAUAAUAAUUCAGGUACAAGAAAUAACAGAUAGCUAGUAAUAAAAAAGAAUAAAAAAUAACAAGAGAAAUAUUACGUACAACUAUUAAUAUAAACGGACAUAAAAACACCACAUUGUUAUCUACUAAUAUUUUAUCCUAAAAAUAUAUUAUAACUAUUGAAAUAUGUGAUGAUCUCGUAUAGAAAAAUUAACAUAUUAUUUAUAUUUACGUAAUUGUUUUCAUCAUGUUUUAUCUAAAAUAAACUAUAAAAAGAUAUUUUUACUCAAUUAUGUCUUCCAACUUCAUUUGGGUAGACUAUAAAAACAUUAAUACAAUCACUUCAAGAAAGUAGAGCUAUGACAUCGACGACAUUUAUGACAAAAUGUCAUUAAAAACAGCGUCAUUGUUGUAAUGAUAAAGACAUUUGGCGCAAAAUAUCCUAAAAAUAAUGACAUUUGACACGAAAUAUUAUUUAAACAAUCACAUUAAAUAUAAAUGCCAAUAAUAUUAUGACAUUUGUUUCAAAUAUCAUAUCAUUUGACGCUAAGUACCAACUUUUACACCUAAUGUUUGAAAAAUUUAAGAUUUUUAAAAUUAUUUUGUCACUCUUUAUAUUAAAUUGUAGAACAAAAUUAUUGAAUACUUACAAAAUAAAAGUAGUAAUUUUUACCUUAAUUAAUCGAUAUAUGGUGACGUGACCUUCAUAUCAAUAACUUAAAAAUUGCAAAGUUAAGGUGAGCUUAAGUUCGACCCUUUGUUUCAGUUUGCAUCCAAUAAUGGUUGGAAAUUUUAAAGCAACAUUUCCAAAGUUUUAAAAAAAAUGUCAUCAAUUUUACACGGUGAAAACAUUUUACAAAUGUCGUAAAAAAAGUUAUUUUGAUAUUGGCAAAAAUUUAAUUUUAAUGUGACAAUUUAUAAAGGUCACAAAUAAAUGUCGUAAAUCAUUUUUUGAAAAUAAUUUAAAUAUAAAAAAAUAAGUGACAUUUUAUAUAUGUCAUGAAUAAAGGUCCCUUAUUAAUUAUCGACAUUUCUUUAAAUGUUUGAAAAUUCUCGACAAUCAAAUGUCGGUAAGUAGUUUUGCGAUAUUUAAACUGCCUAAUACGAUAUUUAUAUAAUGUCGUUGUAUCUCCAUUUUCUUUGUAGUGAAUAAUACAACUCAAUUGACCCUUUAUUUAAAAGAAAACUAGAAAACCUCAAAUAACAUGUGCAUCAACAAAAGUUCUGAUGGAGUGAUAAAUAUUUUUUAUUUUUAAUCAAAGGUCAUGAAUUUAAGCUUUAUCUUCUACUAUGAAACUUCUCGACGCAAAUCUGAACUCAAUCACCAUUCAAUGUGAUACCAAACACUGAUUAAAAAAAAACCAUGUUAAAUGUGCAUUUAGGUCUCAAGAAAAUAAGUGUGGUGUCAAUUGAGGACUUCGGUAAACAAAAUUUUGGAGUGUAUUGAUUAAAACAGCUACUUUGAUAAACAAAAAAAAUCAGCAUAUAUCAUAGGAUACUUCUAAAAAAUUCACUUUGUUACACUUUUAAGUCUCUUUCUUAGUCUAUAUAUCAAAUAUCUAUUUUUAAAAGUAACGUGAGUAUGAAGAGAAUAUAAUAUACACAAUCUUAUUUUAUUUUAUACUAUAAAAUCAUUUUGAAAAUUAACACGAGUUUGAAGAGAAUAGAAUGUAUACAAAUAUUAUUUUAUCUUGUAAUAUAGAAAUAAAGUUUUUUUAGUUUAUAGAUCCUCAAUCAAACAAGUUAAAUAAAUCUGGAUAUCAAAACGGAAAAUAAAAAUAUUAAUCAGCUGAUAAUAUGACUUCUCAUUCCUACAUGGCAUGUCAAUACUAAUUACUUUUUUUUUCACUGCCUUAUAAACUAAAUCCCUAAAUCUUAAUUACUCCCUUUUUCCCCUCAUUUCAUUAUUUUCCAUAAACGAUUUCACCCCUUCUCCCUCAUUUCGUAGCUAGGUUUCACAACUUCUCCCUCGUUUCGCGGCUAGGUUUAUUUGGGAGAAGCUGUGAAACCUAGCCUCAAAACGAGGGAGAAGGGGUGAAAUCGUUUCUGGAAAAUAAUGAAAUGAGGGGGAAAAAAGAGUAAUUAAGAUUUAGGGAUUGUGGAAAAAAAGAGUAAUUAAUAUGGCAUGACAUGUGGCAUCCACACGGCAUUUAACAACUUCCGUUAAUAAGAAUGGUACUUUUGACCCAAUAGUUUGACGGGAUGGGUAGUUUAAGCCGAAAUAUAGUUUAAGGGCAUAUAUGAGCUAUUUCGAAUAGUUUAAGGGUAUUUUUGACCCUUUUCCGUUAUUAUUAUUAUCAUUUUACAUUAUGGGUGUGUUUGGUAUGAAGGAAAAUGUUUUUCUUGAAAACAAGUUGAUUUUUGACUUAUUUUCUCAUGUUUGGUUGGUGAGUAGAAAAUAUUUUCCAGAAAAGAUUUUUAGUGUUUGAUUUCUAAAUGAAAAAUAUUUUUGAAAAAUAUAUUUUAUUUUUACUAGAGUAGAAAAUAAUUUUUGAAAUUGAANNNNNNNNNNNNNNNNNNNNNNNNNNNNNNNNNNNNNNNNNNNNNNNNNNNNNNNNNNNNNNNNNNNNNNNNNNNNNNNNNNNNNNNNNNNNNNNNNNNNNNNNNNNNNNNNNNNNNNNNNNNNNNNNNNNNNNNNNNNNNNNNNNNNNNNNNNNNNNNNNNNNNNNNNNNNNNNNNNNNNNNNNNNNNNNNNNNNNNNNNNNNNNNNNNNNNNNNNNNNNNNNNNNNNNNNNNNNNNNNNNNNNNNNNNNNNNNNNNNNNNNAGUUGAAAGAGAGUUUUGGAAAAUGUUUUCCUUAAGUUUUGAAGGGAAGUCAUUUUCCGUAAAUUUGAGGAAAAUGAGUUGAUUUGGAAAACAUUUUCCAAAACAUUUAACCCAACCAAACAUGAGAAAAUUGGAAAAUGUUUUCCUUCAUACCAAACACACCCUAUGACUAUCUUGUGCACCAAUUAAACCUAAUCCUUUUGUUGACAACCUUGUUAAAACCUCUUGACCCAAAAAUGUUACUUCCUUCUCACCUAUAAAUCAUUUUGAAGCAUUGGUUUGUUUGAAUAGUUUGGAAAGAAAAUCAAAUAGCAAACACAUUAGCUUAAGAAGGAUCUAAGAUGCAACAAGCAAACUCUUUUGUACAAUGGACAUUUCCACCUUUGUUUGUACUUAAUAAGGUGGAAGCAAAUAAAGUAGGAACUCCUUUUGUUCAGUUGAAAAGGGCUCUAAUCGAUCCUGUAAAUUGUAAUAAUGAUAAAGCCUCCCCCGAAAAUAGCUCUAGCAGUCUAGUUGCCAUUCCACUCCCUUGUAAUAAUGCAUAUUAGUUUCUAUUAAUAUAUUAUCUCCAUUUUACCAAAAAAAAAUAAAACUUAGGCCAAAGCCUAAGUUAGGGGUAUGAUAAAGAAGGAGAAUAUAUUCCAAGUGAAAAAGAAGCAUAAGACUCACCCUUGGUUCUUGUGGCAAAGUAAUGCCUUGAUCAUCUUUGUGGUAUGAUUGAAAUAAAAAGGGUUCCCGAUGAGUUGAAUAAGAAAUGAAUGUUGGGAAUUACUUGAGGUUGAGUCUCUUGGUCAAAAGAAAGAAAGAACUUGAGAAAAAGUGAAGUUGGAAACAACAAUGCUUCGAAAAGGAUAAGUCACCCCAUUACAAGACUGAAAAAACCCUUUGAGAUCUUAACUUAAAGUCGAGUGAUGUUAUGAUUGAAAAUAUAUAGACAAGCCUAUACAUUAAAACGUGCAUUCAUUUAAUUAUCGGGUAAAAGUACUAAUACUCUCCCAACAAAUUAAGUUGUGACAAGAUAACAAAUGCAACUUUAUUAUAUUACCAAAUCCAAAAUGACAACAACAACAAUAAUAAAAAAGUAAAUAAAAAUUGCCAAACCUUAGAGACCUAAACUCUAAAACUGAAAGAAAUCCUUGAUAUCAUUGUCACAUUCAAAUAGAUGCAUAUAGUCUUCCUUCAAAUCCACUUGCACACAAAUCCCAUUGCCACAUUCUGCAUCAUACAACCAGCAAACUUGAUCAUGUCUUGACCCAAAAUGCAUCAAACAUGGCUUUCCCCAACCAAAAUCAGCUUCUUGUAUAGGAAAUUUACAUAAACUUGAACUUGUGUACCUAUCAACUUCAUCACUUCCCAGGGGCGGCUCAACAUAAUAUGUGGCCUAAAGCGAAAUUUUUAUUAGAGGCCUAAAAUCUAUAUAACUUUUAUCUAUAUCUAUUUAUUUUGCUAAUUUUCUAGAUAUAAAUUACUACUUAAUAUCUUUUAUAUAAAUGAUUUUUCAAACACUUUUUUUUUUUAAUUAUUAGUUUUAAGUAAGAUUUUAUCAAUUCAACAUUGAAAAACAUCUUUUUGUUGAGACAAUUAUUAUAUGAAUUAUUAACACAAUUUUAUAAGUAAUAAGUUAAUAAACUUUAAAGAUAAGAGUUAGAAUCAUAGCAUUUGAUUCAAAAAGUUGAUAACUUGGUAUACCUACUUUAAUAUGAAAAUUAACAAAUAAAUUUUAAAAAAAAGAAUUUGUAAUGCACUUUGUUCAACACUUUUCGACUAUUGAUUCAUAUUUUUGAGAGUGUAUUACUCUAACUAUCAAAGAUUUGAAGAAAUAGAGUGCAAAAAGAGUUACAAAGGAUAAAUAAUGUGAGUGUUAACGAAGAAAAUGUAAGAAUCCAAAACAAUGUUUCCUUAAUUUCUUCUAUUUGAAUAGGGUUAAGAUACAUAAUUUUUUAUUUAUAAAAAUUUGAGGCCCCCAAAAAUUGGGGGCCUAAGGCCAAUGCCUAAAAUUAUAUAGGCAAGAGCCGGCCCUGUCACUUCCUCCCCAAUCUUGUGCUAGAAAACUUUCAUUAUAUAUAUUUGACACCGCGGACACUAUGUCCUCCGGUGAUGUCUUGUCACAAGUAAUAAUAGUUUCCUUCACAGUGUCAUGAAUUAAUGUCACGAAUUUGUGCAACUCCAUCUUGUUCUCCCCAGGUAUGAAUUUUAAAGGGGCGUCAACUCCAAGAUUUCCAAAAGAUUUUUCUACUUGAGGUAAAGAAAUUAACCUAGUGCGCAAGUUUAUUGGGAUGUUCAUUAGAGAACGUCUUAGAUAUCCGUGCUUCUUUUCUGAAGCACGAAUUAAA
rnacentral:lncRNA from 1 species